rnacentral:rRNA from 1 species
GUCCAUGCCGUAAACGUUGGGAACUAGGUGUGGGUCUCAUUCCACGAGAUCCGUGCCGCAGCUAACGCAUUAAGUUCCCCGCCUGGGGAGUACGGCCGCAAGGCUAAAACUCAAAGGAAUUGACGGGGGCCCGCACAAGCGGCGGAGCAUGCGGAUUAAUUCGAUGCAACGCGAAGAACCUUUACCAAGGCUUGACAUAUGCGAGAACGCUGCAGAGAUGCAGAACUCUUUGGACACUCGCAUACAGGUGGUGCAUGGUUGUCGU